ACGAACUGUCCAAACGUUGUUCGGAAUCACUGGGCUUAAAGGGCGCGUAGGCGGUCGAUCAAGUCAGGGGUGAAAUCCUGCAGCUUAACUGUAGAAGUGCCUUUGAUACUGGUCGUCUCGAGGGAGGUAGGGGUGUGUGGAACUUCCAGUGGAGCGGUGAAAUGCGUUGAUAUUGGAAGGAACGCCGGAGGCGAAAGCGACGCACUGGACCUCUUCUGACGCUGAGGCGCGAAAGCUAGGGGAGCAAACGGG
rnacentral:rRNA from 1 species